rnacentral:lncRNA from 1 species
GCGGCCCGGGAAUCUACGUCACCCGAAAAGCGACUAUAAACGCCGGCGCCUCCGUCCCCAGCCGCGGCUCGGGAAUCCACCCGAAGAGUGGCUAUAAACGUCCGCGCCUCCAUUGCGCUCUCCUCUUCACUUAGACACUGGUCCUCCCACGCCUGACACCGACGUCGCCAGGACCGCGGGGUUGGGGGAACUUGGCUGUCCCACGUCUUUCAAAUAAAGCUGUUUUGUCUAACUCACUGCAUGCGGGUGUUCUUGGGGCCCCGACUCGCCUAUCAGCCUGGCGGCAAGUGCAUAUGUUCACGCUGUGGCGGGGAGAACCCUAGCGAGAUGCCUCCUCUUCUUUC